rnacentral:rRNA from 1 species
UUAAAUUGAAGAGUUUGAUCAUGGCUCAGAUUGAACGCUGGCGGCAGGCCUAACACAUGCAAGUCGAACGGUAACAGGAAGAAGCUUGCUUCUUUGCUGACGAGUGGCGGACGGGUGAGUAAUGUCUGG